AAGGAUUGAUAUAAAAUAUAUAUUAUAAACUCUUUCUUUAGAGGUUAAUAAAAGUGAUUGUCUUUUUCCCUAAUUAUCUUGUUGAGUAUUAUCUGAGAUGGUAUUAAUUGCUUUUACGACUCCUUGGUGAUUUUUUUUCCCGGACAAGACUCCAUCGCAACCAACUGCUUGUGCGAUUUUCUUUUUCCCAAUCGCCGGCCUGCAUUUCCAGUCUCCGUCCACGUCAGAUUCACGAUUUGUAUUCUCGCGAUCUGUCAGAUUCCAGACUAAGAUUUAUUUUCGCGUUUUAGGAGAUUCAGAUCUUCAGCGAUUUCGUCUUGACAUCUUCCGCGACUUCCGGAUUUCAGUUUCGGUCUGCGUCUUGGCGUGAAUUAAUUGCUGCUUCCGAUCAUCAGAUCUUUGCGAUUUAAUUUCCGUCCGCGAUUUUUAGAUCUUCAAGAUCCGUUCGAUUCUUACACGGAUUCUGAUUUUGUGAUCUGGAUUUACGAUUCAUUUCUGGAUUUACACUUCCCCGUAUCCUUCUGUAUGCUUCUGCAUCCUUCCGCGAUUUGGCAUACAAGUAUUUUUGAGUACCAUCUGAGACAACACUCCAAGCCAAGUGUUAAGGCUAUGUUUGUUUUUUGCCCUAUAUAAUAAGUAAUUACCCUGUAAGUGUUAAGGAUUUAUGUUUGUUUGUUUUUAAGACGAGUAGGAAACUUCUCGUCCACAACCGAAAUCUCCAACUAUUUUCAGGUACGGGGAUUGAAAUUUCGUCUCAGAUAAUUUAUAUUUAUACUUUAUAUAAUAUUUUAUAUAGUAUAAUUUAUAUAAAUAACCCUAUAUAAUAUAUUAAAUACAUAAAUUUAUAUUCAAAAUAUACACAUAAAAAAUUUAUAUCAACCCCUUAUAUUUUAAUAUUUUCUAAAUCUUUAACCCUAAAUCCUUAAAAAUUUAAUUUUUAACUAUUUGAAUUAUUUACAUUUGGACUAUAAUUUCAUAUUUUUGAUUAUUUUAUAUUAUUGUUUAAAUUCAAUAAUUUAAUCAGGUAUGUCCGUCUCUAUAUCCUGUCAUUGGCGGAGUACAAGACAGAAAGAUUUUUAGUUUCAGUCAUUUUCCAAACAAGUUAUUAACUAUUUGACAUAGAAAGCAACGUACAGAUGUUGUUUAAGCUUAUCAUCUUCUAAUUAUUAUUAUUAUUAUUAUUUUUUU
rnacentral:lncRNA from 1 species